rnacentral:rRNA from 1 species
GCAUAUCAAUAAGCGGAGGAAAAGAAACCAACAGGGAUUGCCCUAGUAACGGCGAGUGAAGCGGCAACAGCUCAAAUUUGAAAUCUGGCUCUUUUAGAGUCCGAGUUGUAAUUUGCAGAGGGCGCUUUGGCUUUGGCAGCGGUCCAAGUUCCUUGGAACAGGACGUCACAGAGGGUGAGAAUCCCGUACGUGGUCGCUAGCUAUUGCCGUGUAAAGCCCCUUCGACGAGUCGAGUUGUUUGGGAAUGCAGCUCUAAAUGGGAGGUAAAUUUCUUCUAAAGCUAAAUAUUGGCCAGAGACCGAUAGCGCACAAGUAGAGUGAUCGAAAGAUGAAAAGCACUUUGGAAAGAGAGUCAAACAGCACGUGAAAUUGUUGAAAGGGAAGCGCUUGCAGCCAGACUUGCUUGCAGUUGCUCAUCCGGGCUUUUGCCCGGUGCACUCUUCUGCAGGCAGGCCAGCAUCAGUUUGGGCGGUGGGAUAAAGGUCUCUGUCACGUUCCUUCCUUCGGGUUGGCCAUAUAGGGGGAGAUGUCAUACCACCAGCCUGGACUGAGGUCCGCGCAUCUGCUAGGAUGCUGGCGUAAUGGCUGUAAGCGGCCCGUCUUGAAACACGGACCAAGGAGUCUAACAUCUAUG